rnacentral:misc_RNA from 1 species
GAAAUGCGAUAAGUAAUGUGAAUUGCAGAAUUCAGUGAAUCAUCGAAUCUUUGAACGCACAUUGCGCCCGCCAGUAUUCUGGCGGGCAUGCCUGUUCGAGAGUCAUUUCAACCAUCAAGCCCCCGGCUUGUGUUGGGGACCUGCGGCUGCCCGCAGGCCCUGAAAAACAGUGGCGGGCUCGCUGUCACACCGAGCGUAGUAGCAUACAUUCUCGCUCAGGGCGUGCUGCGGGUUCCGGCCGUUAAACGACCUUCAUAACCCAAGGUUGACCUCGGAUCAGGUAGGAAGACCCGCUGAACUUAAGC